rnacentral:rRNA from 1 species
AACUUUCAGCAACGGAUCUCUUGGCUCUCGCAUCGAUGAAGAACGCAGCGAAAUGCGAUAAGUAAUGUGAAUUGCAGAAUUCAGUGAAUCAUCGAAUCUUUGAACGCACCUUGCGCUCUUUGGUAUUCCGAAGAGCAUGCCUGUUUGAGUGCCAUUA